AAACGACUCUCGGCAACGGAUAUCUAGGCUCUCGCAUCGAUGAAGAACGUAGCAAAAUGCGAUACUUGGUGUGAAUUGCAGAAUCCCGUGAACCAUCGAGUUUUUGAACGCAAGUUGCGCCCGAAGCCACUAGGCCGAGGGCACGUCUGCCUGGGCGUCUCA
rnacentral:rRNA from 1 species